rnacentral:lncRNA from 1 species
CCACAUCAUAUGGUUUUAUGGCAUCUGAGGAGGGGUUUCUGCAAGGAGAACAGGAAUUGACCUGUCAUGAUCAAGCAUGGAAUUGUUUAGGAAAACUAAUGCAUCUGUGGAUUCCUGAAAACUGCUGAAGAAAAGGCCUUCCAGAUGGGACCAUUGUCAAGAAAUUGUUGGAGUUUGGCCGGCAUGAGGCAGUGCACACUGCAACAAAUAGAAGAGAUUGACGUAUCAGAAGCAGGUCUGUCCUAAAAACUUUUUUCUAACUACUCAGUUGGUCUAAUUAAAAGACAUUUUAUCUACUCAAAGAACCUUGUCUGCUUCUGGAGGCAUUUUCUGUUUUGGAGAGACCCAGCCCAUAGUGCUGAUUGGUGGACUGUAUCUUGUCAGCCCUUCUCUUCCCUUGGUUUCCCUUCAGCAUGGACAAUUGCCUGAAACAGUACUAUACUGAGAACUUGUAUAUUGACUUCAGCCCAAGAUACGGUAUUCCAGAAUCGUGCACAGAAGACAUGCUGAGAGCAUAUGGGUGAAAUGUUUUUGCUGUUUCAAAUGUGAAAUGCGAUGUAUUUUAUAAUGCUGGUUGGUAUUUUUGUGGCCAGUUGUGGGUGACCAUAUAUUUUAAAGUUUACAGUGCAUCACUGGGGUGCCAAAACUGCAUGGGAGAAAAGUUUUAAUUGAAAUUUGACAGGCUUUAUCUAGUUGCUUCUUGGUGGUAGCUAGUUUUCUUUAAAGUGAGGUUUGACACGUGUUGAGUAAACUGGUUUGGAGUUAAAUUUUGCAAAUUAGCAAUUGUGUAAAUUAGUCCUAAUCUUGUUUUAGUACUUUUCAAAUGAACUAUUAAACAAGAGACUGAACAGAUCUGUACUCUGUAUUUAUAUUAAACUUGUAUUAAAUUGAUCUUUGAGCUAACAUUGGAUCACUAUGCUACUGGUGUUGUAGCUUCCCAAAUACUUGACUAGAAAGGCCAA